GAUGGCAGUUCUGCUCAUGCUGAGGUCUUCCCUGCAUUUCCAGAUCCGUAAAAUAAGCACAACAAGGCACAGAACUGGACAAAGAUGCAAUGAAAUCCAGAAUUAAUAAAAGGAGCUUCUACCCUAAAUUUACUAUUUUUUCUUGAUAAAGCUUCUGUCUUCCCAGCAUCACUGUCAUGCACUUUCACCUGCUGGCUGUCUAUCUGUGAGCUGUCAAUUAAGCCGAUUCACAAGCUGCUCCCAGUCUUUUGUCAUCUGCCACCUUAUGAAGGCGUAAUGGAGUUUGUGUCAGUGGUGCCAAGGCAAAUUAAUUAAAGUGAACUCUCAAAGAUCUUCAUUUUUGAAGAAAUACUGCGACAAAACAAAUUAAGCUUUUACGUCCUACAAAAUCUUGGAAUACAACCUCUGAACGUUUCCUAAAUGGACAGCGUGAAACUAUGUUUAAGGAGGAAAUGUGGAUGUUAGCAGAGAAACCAAGACAUCACAUUAAAAACACAUCAGACAUCAAGUCAAACAUCAAAUAUGUUUCUUUAACAUUAUCACACUUUUCCUAAAGCUUAGUGAGAAGAUCCUAUUUUUUCAGUCCAGGGACCCUUUUUUUUGCUAAGGUUGCCCACUGGGCUUCCAGAGACCAGCCCA